AGGAUGAACGCUGGCGGUCUGCUUAACACAUGCAAGUCGAACGGAGUACCUCGGUACUUAGUGGCGGACGGGUGAGUAACGCGUGAGAAUCUGCCCUUAGGUCGGGGACAACCAUUGGAAACGAUGGCUAAUACCGGAUAAGCCGAGAGGUAAAAGAUUAAUUGCCUAGGGAAGAGCUCGCGUCUGAUUAGCUAGUUGGUGAGGUAAAGGCUCACCAAGGCAUCGAUCAGUAGCUGGUCUGAGAGGAUGAUCAGCCACACUGGGACUGAGACACGGCCCAGACUCCUACGGGAGGCAGCAGUGGGGAAUUUUCCGCAAUGGGCGAAAGCCUGACGGAGCAAGACCGCGUGAGGGAGGAAGGCUCUUGGGUUGUAAACCUCUUUCUUGGGGAAGACAAAUGACGGUACCAAGGAAUCAGCAUCGGCUAACUCCGUGCCAGCAGCCGC
rnacentral:rRNA from 1 species